rnacentral:rRNA from 1 species
UACGAGGGGUGCAAACGUUGCUCGGAAUCAUUGGGCGUAAAGCGCACGUAGGCGGCCCUGUAAGUCGGAUGUGAAAUCCCUCGGCUCAACUGAGGACGUGCAUCCGAAACUGCAGAGCUCGAGUAUGGAAGAGGGUCGCGGAAUUCCCGGUGUAGAGGUGAAAUUCGUAGAUAUCGGGAGGAACACCAGUGGCGAAGGCGGCGACCUGGGCCAAUACUGACGCUGAGGUGCGAAAGCGUGGGGAGCAAACAGGG